UUCGAGCCCAUUCUCUUUACUUUCCAUCUC
rnacentral:piRNA from 1 species